rnacentral:pre_miRNA from 1 species
CCCUAAAACAAGAAUAUAAGAAUUUAAGCAGUCGGGACCCAUUCUAAAUAUUAUGAAUUAUGACUUUCUAGAAUGGGUCCCGACUGCUUAAAUUCUUAUAUUCUUGUUUUAGGG